UACAGAGGGUGCGAGCGUUGUUCGGAAUUACUGGGCGUAAAGCGUGCGCAGGCGGUUAUGUAAGACAGGUGUGAAAUCCCCGGGCUUAACCUGGGAAUUGCAUUUGUGACUGCAUGGCUAGAGUGUGUCAGAGGGGGGUAGAAUUCCACGUGUAGCAGUGAAAUGCGUAGAUAUGUGGAGGAAUACCGAUGGCGAAGGCAGCCCCCUGGGAUAACACUGACGCUCAUGCACGAAAGCGUGGGGAGCAAACAGG
rnacentral:rRNA from 1 species